UACAGAGGUCCCGAGCGUUGUUCGGAUUCACUGGGCGUAAAGGGCUCGUAGGCGGCCAACUAAGUCAUACGUGAAAUCCCUCGGCUUAACCGGGGAACUGCGUCUGAUACUGGAUGGCUUGAGUUCGGGAGAGGGAUGCGGAAUUCCAGGUGUAGCGGUGAAAUGCGUAGAUAUCUGGAGGAACACCGGUGGCGAAGGCGGCAUCCUGGACCGAUACUGACGCUGAGGAGCGAAAGCCAGGGGAGCAAACGGG
rnacentral:rRNA from 1 species